rnacentral:rRNA from 1 species
UCCGUAGGCGGGUAAUUAAGUCAGAGGUGAAAUCCCACAGCUUAACUGUGGAACUGCCUUAGAUACUGGUUAUCUUGAGUUUUAGUGAAGUAGAUAGAAUGUGUAGUGUAGCGGUGAAAUGCAUAGAUAUUACACAGAAUACCGAUUGCGAAGGCAGUUUACUAACUAACAACUGACGCUAAUGGACGAAAGCGUGGGGAGCGAACAGGAUUAGAUACCCUGGUAGUCC